AUUGAACGCUGGCGGCAUGCUUUACACAUGCAAGUCGAACGGCAGCGCGGGCCUCGGCCUGGCGGCGAGUGGCGAACGGGUGAGUAAUACAUCGGAACGUGCCCAGUAGUGGGGGAUAGCUCGGCGAAAGCCGGAUUAAUACCGCAUACGACCUGAGGGUGAAAGCGGGGGAUCUUCGGACCUCGCGCUAUUGGAGCGGCCGAUGGCAGAUUAGCUAGUUGGUGGGGUAAAGGCCUACCAAGGCGACGAUCUGUAGCUGGUCUGAGAGGACGACCAGCCACACUGGAACUGAGACACGGCCCAGACUCCUACGGGAGGCAGCAGUGGGGAAUUUUGGACAAUGGGCGAAAGCCUGAUCCAGCAAUGCCGCGUGUGUGAUGAAGGCCUUCGGGUUGUAAAGCACUUUUGGCGGGAACGAAAAGGACUGUGCCAAUACCACGGUUCGAUGACGGUACCCGCAGAAUAAGCACCGGCUAACUACGUG
rnacentral:rRNA from 1 species